GCCCUCAGCCAUGGAUCCAGUGCCACGCCAUCCUUCUUGCUGCCAUGCUCUCUGCCAUGAUGAUUAUGGACUCUAACCCCUUGAAACUGCUGCUCUCCUGGUUGAAGAACUAGAGCGAAAGAAAGCGUGAAGAAGAGAGAAUGGAGAGAAAGAGCCAAGACAGAAGCUCCCCCUCCUAACCCUUUUUGCUGCCUUGAAUUUUUUUUUCUACACUCCUUAUUGGCUCACCGGAUCAUCUGAUUUUCAAGGAGACAGCUCAACAGAGGAGGAAGGAUGGGCUCCAAGUCAGAGACUUCAAGUUGAGCGCUGCCCUGCCUUGGGAAGUCCGGGCCUGGACAAGCCACUUCUGCUAAGAGACGGAUCAUUCAUAGAACAGAACGGGGGUUUUUAAGCUUUUAAGUUUCUUUAAAAGCUAUGAUUACUGCCAAACUAUAAUGAUUUUCAUGUCGAUUCCUUUUUUGCCCACACGAACCUGUCCGUCUUGCUUUCAUCAAUUACCAUGCCUUGCUAGAUUUACUGAGCUCUGGCCUCCAGCUCUUUAUAGACCCCCACUACUCCUCCACCCCAGACUCCACACAAUACUUCCUUCCUACUGGCUGAGCAAUCCAGCCCCCCUGGUUUGCGUGCACCUCAGGACAGUCUCAGCUCCUGCUUACCUGGUCAUCUUCACUUCCUGCUGGUCUCUCUUGCACUCCACAGACCCACAACUCAAAUUUGCGUUUUCCCCUGGAGUCUGCAUUUGCACGUUCAUUUACCCUGUCUUCAAACUGCCUCAGAAUCUCCACUAGAAUUUUCCUACCAAGGCUUCUUGCGGGCUGCGUCCUGUGUACUUUUCACAGCCCAAGUCUAAGUGUCCUCCUGCUCUUCCCAAAUCUUCUGCGUCCCUCUUCUUUGCUCCUGCUGUGUCCCCUCAGGUGCAGGUCCCUAAGGAGAGGAGAUCAAAGGUGGGUGUGAUGGUGAACUGCUGUAAUUCCAGCACUCAAGAGGCUGUGUCGGGAGGACUGAGUGUUCCAGGUCAGCCUGCAACAGUUUGGAG